AAAGACCUCAACUAAUUCAUACUGAAUAAAAUUUUGUGUGGCCUGUGGUAAAAAUCAUUCCUUUGCUUCAAAGCUUAUCCAACUCAAAUCAACCCAUAGGGUAGACUAUUAAGUGAAUUAGUUUGGAAUGUCAACACCACCAUCUUACUCCCAGGAGCACAAAUGUUGAGAAUGUCAUCAGAGAACUGUAGAGACUUCUCUUUACUAUAACCUCCCAACCAGUGUGUUCUAUAGUGUGCUUGAAUAUGGCAUGGGUUGUUGCAUUUCUUUCUUCUGUAGCUACAGGCAAAACUGUUAUUAUUUUGUAACGUGAGAUCUGGCCCAUUGUAUAGUUACUGUCUUUUUCCUCAGUGGGGUCACGCAAGCUCCCCCAAUAAUGUUUCUCUUGAGCAUGUAAAAAGCUCGAUAAACUCAGAUGUCUCACUUUUUGU
rnacentral:lncRNA from 1 species